GGGAAGGUGGCUCAGUGGUAGAGUGCUUGCCUAGCAUGCAUGAGCCCUGGGUUCGAUUCCUCAGCCCCA
rnacentral:tRNA from 1 species